AGAAAACGCAUUUCAUCUCUCUCGUCUCAUCAUCAGAAUCCCUUUCGUCUCUCUCUCUGCUCAUCAGUCUUAAACCUAGAAAAACUCGCCAUCGAUGAACUGUGGGGGCCGCUCUGACGAAGGAAGAUCCAUUCUGGCGAAGGACAACCAUUUCGGCUAAUAUAAGGGGAUCUCAGAUGUGAAUAAGAAAAGAGAAAACUCAUAGGAAGAGGCUUAUUGUGGAGGUGUAGCUAUUGCGGAUGAAAGCAGUGAUGAAGACCUUACUUGAGUGUUGUUGAUCGUUGUUAAACUUUCUAUCAUCAUGUUCAAGGAUUGUUGGACUCAUCGAUCAAUUUUGACUUUUGAAUUGUUGAUUAAACAAUGUAUUUAUAAUUUGUUUUUGUAUAUGGAUAAUGCGAGUUGGUAAUUUAAUUUUAUUUCGUGGUUUAUAUAA